rnacentral:rRNA from 1 species
AGAGUUUGAUCCUGGCUCAGGAUGAACGCUAGCGGUGCGCCUAACACAUGCAAGUCGAGCGUGAUUGAGAAGUAGCUUGCUACUUUUCAUGAGAGCGGCGAACGGGUGAGUAACACGUUGGUACAUGCCCCCAAGUCAGGGAUAGCCAGAAGAAAUUCUGAUUAAUACCGGAUAGUCUCUUUGGAGUAAAAAUUUAUUGCUUGGGGAGUGGCCUGCGUUCUAUCAGCUAGUUGGUGAGGUAAUAGCUCACCAAGGCUAUGACGGAUACUUGGUCUGAGAGGAUGAUCAGGCACAAUGGAACUGAGACACGGUCCAUACUCCUACGGGAGGCAGCAGUGAGGAAUCUUCCACAAUGGACGAAAGUCUGAUGGAGCGACACCGCGUGAAGGAUGAAGGCCUAACGGUUGUAAACUUCUUUUCUGAAGGAGCAUAAUGAGAGUACUUCAGGAAUAAGGGACGGCUAAAUACGUGCCAGCAGCCGCGGUAAUACGUAUGUCUCAAGCGUUACCCGGAAUCACUGGGUGUAAAGGGUUCGUAGGUGGAAUUUUAAGUCAGGUAUGAAAGACCGGAGCUCAACUCCGUGUUUGUAUUUGAAACUGGAGUUCUAGAAUUAGGGAGAGGUAAGCGGAAUUCUAAGUGUAGGGGUGCAAUCCGUAGAUACUUAGAGGAACACCAAAAGCGAAGGCAGCUUACUGGAACUAUAUUGACGCUGAUGAACGAAAGCGUGGGGAGCGAAAAGGAUUAGAUACCCUUGUAGUCCACGCCCUAAACGUUGAUAACUAAGUGUUGCGACUCGCUCGCAGUGCUGAAGCUAACGCGAUAAGUUAUCCACCUGAGGAGUACGGUCGCAAGAUUAAAACUCAAAGGAAUAGACGGGGACCCACACAAGCAGUGGAUCACGUGGUUUAAUUCGACAAUAAACGGGGAACCUUACCCAGACUUGACAUCUACCGAAUUUCCUAGAGAUAGGAGAGUGCCUUUAUUGGAGCGGUAAGACAGGUGCUGCAUGGUUGUCGUCAGCUCGUGCCUUGAGGUGUUCGGUUAAGUCCGUUAACGAGCGCAACCCCUGUUUUUAUUUGCCAGCAUUCAGUUGGGCACUCUAGAAAAACUGCCGGUGAUAAGCCGGAGGAAGGUGUGGAUGACGUCAAGUCCUCAUGGCCCUUACGGGUUGGGCUACACACGUGCUACAAUGGUGGUGACAAUGGGUUAAUCCCAAAAAGCCAUCUCAGUUCGGAUUGGGGUCUGCAACUCGACCCCAUGAAGUCGGAAUCGCUAGUAAUCGCGUAACAGCAUGACGCGGUGAAUACGUUCCCGGGCCUUGUACACACCGCCCGUCACACCAUGGGAAUUGGGUCUACCCGAAGGUGGUGCGCCAACCUGCAAAGGAGGCAGCCAACCACGGUAGGCUCAGUGACUGGGGUGAAGUCGUAACAAGGUAACC